rnacentral:lncRNA from 1 species
UGCAAUCUGAUUGGAGGGUCAAAGGCAGUACACAGAGUAGAAAUGUGUACAAAACUUCAUGUUAAGAAAUGCUGCAUCGCACAGCUUCUGGUCCUGUCCGAACGCUUCUGUGAGCGUUUAUCUCCUGCCGUGACGAUGGGUGGAGGAUGGUCAGAGGAAGAAAAGGAGAAGUUUGCUACUGAGCUUUUCCAGGCUGUCCAGGGGACUUCAGUGAUGCCUGAUAUUGGCAUUGACUACUCCAUACUGAAGUACUCGGGACUGAACUCGUCCUCUGCUCUGGACGACUACUCUUCUCAGCUUAUCGACCUGUCCAUUUUAGGCUACAUGAAGGACCUGGGUUCUGCUUUAUCGAAUUUUAACAACGUACCGAACGCUGUGGGGCUCGGGGCUCUGCUUAUCUCCAUACUUCUGGACACCAUGAUUGGUCUGAAGAAGACCGAAGAUGAAGCAAAUGUGUCGGGAAUGAUGCGGCGGGUGUUCGCUGAAGAAAAGGCCUCGGAUGUCCGAGACUUCAUGGAUGAGUACAUCAAACGCUUUAGUUUAAAAAUGCACAAUCCUGAAGAGCUGCUUGGAGGAACAGCUCAGCAACGGGCUGACCCGGCUCAGGAACUCCAUGCUCCACGAUAACCAAAUCAGCACACGUUCAAUGAAGCACUGGACCAACGGCGCGGUGUUCCACCUGCAGAUGUUCAUCCACAAGGCCCGGAUGGAGGUGGGGAAAAGCGGGAGUUCCAGUUCUGAGCUCGACAGGCAGGUGCUGUCAGUCGGCGAACUGGCCGAACAUUACGGAAACGACCUGAAUGACCUCCUAACCAAGUAUGAGGCUUACAAACGUUCUACCAUCAAAACCAUCACAGAUACGCAGAGUGUUCCUACACUAACUGGAGGGCCAGAAUGGACGGCUUUUAACUCUGUACAUUUCGAUACAGAGUUAAAUACACAAGCUGGGUUUGAAAAUGGUCUAGAAUGGUACGGCUGCGAAUCUAUACAAGAAACCUAUCGGAACUACAUGUUUAAGAACUGGAAUCUGCUUAAAGAGCUCAGGGAGUAUUUCCCCUCCAUCAAACAGAACCUCAGAGUGACGAUAAUGCAGAACACGACCUUUUCCAUCGAGAAGUUCUUACCUGCUCCAGAAAGAAAUUAUAGAACAGAUAACUGAAUGUAACUGUAACUACAGCCUACGAUUAGCUUAAGAAUCCAGUGAGGACUCUUAAUUUAACCUAAGACUUAAUUUAUAUGUAGAUAGAUAGAUAGAUAGAUAGAUAGA